GGAAACUUGAUAUUUCUCUGUGAAUUUUUAUUUAGAGAAGAGAAAUUCUAUCAAUUCAUUCAGGAUCAAAUAGAGGACUUCAAAUGAUUCCCUCCAGUGAGACUUGAAGAUAGGUGUUAGGAAGGUACAUUUGCUUCACUCACAGGAUGAUUGAGGAGUAAUGGCAGUUUGUGCUUUGCUAGUGCUUAUGUCCAUUUGCCUUAAAGCCGUAACAUUUUAUUCAAAAAUAAGUUAGAGGAAUGAAAAAGUUUUGGAGGAGCAGUGACUGCCCCUGCACGUAGCCACACUGGCAUGAUGAUGUGCUUUCAUAUCACGUGGAAAUUGGAAACAAGGGCGGGCUGAAGCACUGCAUAAGCUGCAGGCACAGACCGCAUCUCCUGGAGCAUUGCAAAGUAGCUGUGUGCCUUCAUGCAGCCUCUGUGUAAUGCUGCUCAGAAACGGCAGCAAGUUCUGCAGGGAGAGAUGGUAUGAGAACAGGAGUUGCCCAGGGAUACUGUGUGCUGCUGGAACAGAAGAUAACUCUCCAGCACCCAUCUGUGACAAGCACGAUCAGGAGACUGAGAUCACUCUGAAUUUACACCAAAUGUAA
rnacentral:lncRNA from 1 species